CACACAGGAAGAAUUUGACGGUGCUGGAACACAAAGAAAUAUGCGCACUAAGACUCUUCUGAAAGCAUGGAGGCAGAGGCCCAGCGGUUGCUCCGCAGCAGCCCUGGUGGGGACUCCGAGGCCCAGUGGGACCAGAGAUGGAGAGCAACGCAAAGACACAGCGGGAAGGCUGGAGUCGUCUUUGAGGGGCUGCAGCCCAGGGAGACAGGGAAGGCCUGAGUCUGCAAACACGCCAGAGCAGAUACGUGGAACAAAGCAGACAUCGUCUAGGGACCAAGGUUUCUUCACGGCGUUGUGAAGUCCGCCCUAUCCUGCUUCUGAGAGCACUGACUUCCAAGAACGCCCGUCUCAGAAACUUGCCACUGGCAGAAGAGCCCUCGGGAAGGAAAGAGGAACCGAUUCCCUGUAGAAGCUUCAUAAAACGUUGGCCUGUUGAGAGCUCCUCUGAGCAGCAACUUUUCCAGCAAAAGUUUAAACUAUAUUUGCAAACAACAUUUAAGUGUUUCUCUGUAAAACAUUAUCUCCUUGCCAGAGAGAGGGAAACGGCCUAUCUUAGCUCUAAAACAAGGAGGUCAUCAAUCGUGGAAGGAAAAGUAACUUGAAUAAUACGGACUGGGCAUCUGUACCCCGCACUUUUGCGCUGGCUGUUUUAUACCCAUCAUCUCUUUCCCCACAACCUUCUGGUCCCAUAUAUCAGAAAAUAAAAGUAUGGCUUAGAAAAAAAAACCCUAAAGUAAAUAAUUUCUCCAAAUGCAGCAAACUGCAUCUUGAACUUCAACCCAUCCAACUCCAAACCUACGCUCUAGCCAUGAGGCCAAAAACUUGAAUCGGAAAUAAAAAUAAAUGGAAAAAAUUGCACAACUCGAGCUGACAGAGUUUCAUUUGUAUCAGUCUGACUCAGACCCUGUCUGAAAACAAGUCUGCAACAUCGAACAACGGAAUGUAGCGAGGAGACUAGCAAGGAAAGAGGCGAGGACCACCAAACACAGAGUCAGGGGGGUGGCCAGAACUGCAGGAACGCUGGGCUGAGCCCAUCCCUGGCUGCACCCAGGCUCCCAGCACACACCUGCUCCAGGGGCCACGGGGCCCGCAGGGGGAGGCACUUCCGAGCCUGGAGGAGCAGACGCUGCAAAACAGGAAGCAGACGCCACAGCAUCUGGGACCCAGCCGUCCUAGAUGACAGCAGCUCCCUGCACAUCGGGCAUCUCCGCAAGCGCAGUCAGCUUUACACCAAAGGCAUGACAAGGCCCCAAGGCAUUCCCGGUCUGGGCGACCGUCCCAACACCAUCAACACUGGGAGGACUGUCAUCAGCAGCUCCCUUUCACCAUCCCUAAGGAGGCCUCACCUGGAGUCACCAUCUCCCUUGCUGAUCACUGAGCCCCUGGAAGAGCGUCCCCUCUGCUGAUGCCCCUGCCAAAUGCUACCCACACUGUGGAGCUCAGGGGAACGUCAGCCUUUGCCCCAGAAGCAGCUGGCAAUUGCUUGUGCCCACGGUGGUCUCUGCCCACUCUGCCCACAAACACUGGCCCACUCAGCAGUCAGCGACCUGCCUAUCAGGAUGCUCUCAGGAUGGAUGCAUUUUACUCCAGUGUGCCGGUCACUCUGUCCUAUAGCUGCACUAACAAAAUACCCACCUUUGCUGUUCCAGGCACCGAAGACGCAGGAACGGUCAAAUCCCAGCCUGCCCCGUGGGUCCCACCGUCCAGGGGAGGAUGGAUAACACAUAAUAAAACUGUACAAGUACAGUUACCAUUGGAGGGCACAAGUACGAUCCAAAGCAUCGCUAUCACAUCGCCCUGUUCAUUUCCUUCAUAGCAUUUAGCUCAGUCUGAGGCCGUUAUGAGUGUUUCUUGUCCUACUGGUGGUCUGUCCCCACGAGCAGACACCAGGGCAGGAAACUCGUCUGUCUGGGUCACCACUGUGUCUCAGCAUUCCGUAUGGACGUGGGCACGGAGACACGCUCAUUAAAAGCUCUAUUUGUGGAAGGAGUAACGAGGGGCAGUGAAGCUGUGUCAGGAACUCGGGGUACUCAGCCCAACCUGGAGGCCCAGGCAAUGGGGGGACAGUGAGGAAGGCCCACCGGAAGGGGUGAGGCACAGUCCAGUGGGGGAAGCAAGAUGUGCAAAGGUAAGAAACGGCAGUCGGCAUCACAAAGGGGGGUACCACACCCCUAAAUAUUACUGCAGACCAGCUAUUGUCAAAGAGGGUGACCUCCCUGAGGGACUACGUGGCAGUGCCUGGGGACCAUGUUGAUCACCAUGAUUUGGGGCAGCAGGUGCUACUGGCACCUACUGGGUAGGGUCCAGGGAGACUGCGGAGACCCUAAAGUGCACAGAGCAGCUCCCCCACAGUGGAGAAUUAUUGGGUCCCCUGCGGUCUAGCAACCCAGCUGUUGCUUAACGUUCAAGGGAUGCAGUGCUCAGAGAACAUGAAAGCUUUCUUCUGAACUUCAUGAUUUCUACUUACACCGUUUUUCUUCUUUCAAUUAGAACUUGGACCAAUUUGGUGGCAGUAUUUACUUGCCACCGCCGCUAACCUCCAAGAAGGGAAAUAUUCAGUGCAUAUGUCCAGAACCUAUCAGACCUCUAUUGUAGCCAAAACAAGACUUUCGGCAGACUUCGCUGGUCAUCCCCAGGGACACAGCACCAUGUCCGCCCACGAGGACUCACCGCUUCCCCUCUAAACUCUAAAACUCCAAACUCUGCACCCCAUGUGCAAGGCAACGACAAGCAGAAAGAUGAGGACAACAAAAAGUGCUCAGCAGCACCAGAGACACAGACAGACAGACACACAGAAGGAUGGACACGCAGAUUUUCCAGCAUGGCAAAAGACUGAUUCUUUGGAGCUCCAAAGGUGUGUAGCUGCGCUUGGCUCACUUUUCGACAAAAGGGGAGUUGGCCUGAACGCCGGCGCCCCUGACCUGUGCUCUGUUAUGCGGCGGGGGGUUGGGGGGAACUGUUGUGAAGAAUGCUUAGAAGAAGCCAUCUCCCCGGGACUUUAGACCCUUGGCAGGGUGUCAGGCAGCUGGGCCUGAUGGAGCGACAGGAGCUGGGAAGUCAGCGAAGACAACGUCCCCUUUGUCUAGAAGCAGCAAACCCAGCAGGGCUGAGCCUGUUCUUGACAAUGGAACCUGCGGUAGGUCCAGACCUUGGUGGGGCCUGACCCCCGUUCACCUUCUCUUACUGCUUCACAACUGCUUCUCUUCAGCUAAAAGGCUCAGUGUAUUUUUUGCCUCUGGGAGACUAUUCAGUAUUCUCUGAAAUGCAUAAACUGUGACUCUAAAAGAACAAAAAUGAAUCACAGUUUUUUUCUGUUGUAAGAGACCCAGUAGUGGUACGUUUCUGAAAAGUAGGUCCCGGCACUCACAAGGGUUAUCUGUGAGACGUCUCGGCUUCCACUGGGACAGAAAGCUUCCAGGCUCCCUCGUCUCUGGAGUGGGCGCACGACCACCACCCGCCUUACCGGUCCCACGAGUAAUCCUAAAACGGGCUUAUUUAAACAAGAAACACUCACAAAUUAUUUAGUGAAUGGAAAUUCAACUUCUAUCCAAAGUUUCACGGCACUACCCGGUGGGUGGAGGAACAAAAGACAGACGCUUCCCGCUCCCAGACAAACACGGGCCUUGUGUCUAACACGCUGACUCUGUACAGGCCGGCGCUGGAAAGGAGGGGCAGGCUGCCCUACAAAAUGGAAAUAGAAACCCAAGUAAAUGUGUUACAGUUCUAAGCAAGAUCUGCAGUCCUCGGAGUAGAAGGAUAUUAGUGCGGGCAGUUCCAGCUGGCAAAUGAAGUGUCCUCCCAAAGUUCGUUUUGCAACUCAGGUGUUUGGAACUUGCCAUGCAAGCCCAGAAAAGCUGGUUGAAUUUACAAUAUCUCCAGCGUACCAUACCCUUAGAGGGAAAACAAUAAAAGGCAAUGUUUUACUACCAUUUUUUUAAAAUAUCAAAAUGCUUAUAAAAACAAAUGCACAGCUGCCACUAGCCUUGUCAUGAGCCAGGCCUGGACCCCUGCGAUCCGAGUUGUCACCUCAGCGGGGUCCUGGGAAACUGAAAGGGGACAAUGAGAAGAACCCCAGCUCCAGCGGGUUCUGCUGGGAAGAGGGAGGAGUCCGGCAUCUCGCAUCCAGGAGCCAAGGGCCUGGUACCUGCCAAGGACAUACACUGACAAACAGAUGUGCUGUCGCCUCUAGAAGGGCACAGGGUAUGUGACGGAACCGGGAGCUGCAGCCGAAGAGAAAUGAGCCAGCCCAUGGCCACCAGGGAGGAGCGGGAAAAGGGGGUUCCCAGCAUGCUCUGCAGCUCUGUGGACACUCGGAGGCAGGAAGGGAGAAUUUCCUAUAGUUGGCAACAGUUGGUUUAGGGAUGUCCGGGGCCACGUUUAACUCUAAUAAACGUACUAGGUCAGGAAGAAAGUUCCUGAGCUUUAAGAGAGUGACUUUUGUGUCAACAGAUGAGGUUACAUAAUCAGGUUUCUGGUGUCUUGGGGACAGAACAGGGCAAGGAAGAGAAAGACCAGGGGGAAUGUGUUACUCGGCAGACACUCCCGCCCCUUUCAGAGCAGGAAAGAACCUUAGUUCCCAAGAGCUGAAGAAUACUAACCCUGGGCCCAUGCCAAUACAAAAGUGAUGCAACACCCUGAAACCGGUUUAAAAUGAGAAGGUUUAUCACUUAUCCAUUCUGUACCUUCUUUAAUCCUCCAAAUAAAGUGCCAAUCGCCAGGUC